GCGCAUGUCCGCUCCGACAUCCCGGACACUCCUACCCUGACAGAGGUGCAGUUCAGGGUCCAAGAUCUGGCGCCCGGGUUCCAAGCCCGAUUUAGGGUUCGCCAGCCCAGCAGGUGCGGAGCCAAGCUCCUCUACAGACGCGGCCCUCUCCCCACGCGAGGCCUCCAAAUCUCGCAAACUAACGGAAAUGAAGCCACGCUCCGGGCGCGGUGCCUCUGGGAAAUGUAGUCCAGCGCUCCGGACGCGGUGCCUCUGGGAAAUGUAGUCUAGCGCUUGGCUGGCCGGCCAGGACGCGGGGAGGCCCGGGCCGCUCACCCCUCGGGGGAUCGUGGGCUCGGCCUGUGGAACCUGCUUGUCUCGCUUGCCGCGCCCCGGAGGUUUCUGGGAGUGCCCGCCCGCCCGCGCUCAGUGCGCAGGCGUCAGGCGCUCAGGGCCUGCGAGAGCGAGCUCUGAGUCGUCCCAGGGUCUACCCCUGGUAGGGGAGGGGGUGGGACCCGCCGGCCAGGCAGGAUUAGUUCUCUCUUCAGCCCAGCUACUGGAUUCAGCUGUGUUAUAGUGGCUGCCCCUAAAUAG
rnacentral:antisense_RNA from 1 species